rnacentral:lncRNA from 1 species
GCGAUGGUUUCGUUGGAUUUGGACAAACGCGUAAAAAGUUAUGGCUAUUUGAAAAAUCAGGGCCAAGCUGUUUUACGGAAGAAAAAAUAGCUACGGGCUAGGGUCUAAUGUAUAAAUACAUAGACUAAUUGAUAAUCUAAUUAUUUUAUCAUAUUAGUCUAAAAAUAAUAAACUACAGAGGUAUAAGAAGAAAAAAACACAGAAAGAUACCUUUAUAAGGCAGAGAAAAUACAAUUUUGGAGAAAGGAGACAAUUUCCAAAAGUCGCGCCGGAAAGGAGAAAUAUAUUUUUCUUAAAUGAAUCUAGUCAAACCAAAAUAUUGAUUUAAUCCAAAUCGGAUGAUUUUUUUGGAGGCUCUAUGGGUCUAUAUUUAUUGGUGGAAAAGAGGCUUAGAGGUCAAGGACUAGGCAACGUGGGACUAAACGUAGACGAAAAUAUACGAAACAGAGAAGAAAAGAGGCGGAUGGGCCUAAAGGCCUUUGGCCGGCCGCACGCACAUUGUGGUGCAGUUUUUUUUACAAAAUUCGACCUAAGAGAGAAAAAAAGAAAAGGCUGGCUGGGCCUGGCCUAUUUAAGAGAGAAAAAAAAACAAUGGGGCGCCAGAAACUACUAUACUGUGCAUGUAGGCGAUAAAUAAAUAUGGGCUGCAUGUACAGUUUUUUUUAAAAUAGAGACAGAAGGAAAACCGAAUAACAAAAUAAAAUAAAAAAUUUAUAUAGGCAUAUUAUAUAUCAAAAAUUUCAGAAAAAGAUUUUCUAUGACAAGGAUAUUUUUCUGGCAUUAAAUAAAAUACACACAAAUUCUAAUAAUUCUAACAGUGUUCCUGCUCUAAUAAGAUCCAAUAAAAAUCAUUUUAAAAAUACCAAAAUGAAAUCAAAUUUACUUCUCUCCAAUUUUCUGUUGUAGGGAAUGAUGUUACCCUAUUUUCCAUGUAUUUUAUUUUUGGACAAAAAUGAUUUGAAUAAAAUCCAAAUAACUCCAAAUUGAAAAAUAAUUCCAAAAGAGACUUUAAAUGUGAUCUUUGAAACUCCCAACUCAUAUUUCAUAAUUUGAAGAAGUCAUUUUACCUUCUCUCAUGAAAAUCACUGAGUUGCAUAAAGUUUCUGAAUUGGAAAAUAUUUCCCAAUGGAAUUCAAAUAUUUUUCAAACACCCUUUUCAUUUAUUUAAAGGAAGAAGUCACGUCAUCUUCUCUCUAGGUUUUUGUAUUUGAAAAGAAUUUGAAUUCACGAAGAUCAUAAAUGAAAAAAAAUGAAAGUUUGGGAAAGUCCUUUUAUUCCCUCUCAUUUAACUUUCAAAAAGUUCGAAUUCACUCACUUUCAAUCAAUCAAUCAAAUCUAUCUAUUUAAUAUAACAUUCCAAAAUUUAGAAUUUUGGGAUGUUACAAACCUACCACCCUUAAAAUGAAUCUCGUCCUCGAGAUUCGGAGAGGCUAGAAAGAAAUAGGUUAGGUUUGGGGUCUCUUCAAAAUUUCACCAAUCGUCUCCGGGGUCUGGGGUGCUACCACCCUUAGAAGCAUGGUUACGGUUCCAUCAAAACUCAUAUACUUCAUCCAUAUUGUUAACAAUGUUGGUCUUCUCAGAUUUUUAGGGUAAUUUCUUAUCUGGGAUCUUUCGGUAGUGGCAUAACCUUUUCCUCAAUUCUUCUGUCUUUCAUCUUGGUAAGGUUCUUCUGUGACUGGGUCUUCUUAGCUGACGGGUCUGGCGCCAAAACUAAACAACUAUCGAUAUCUCAUGGUGGUCAACAAUUUAUGGUUCCUUCUGCAGGAAAUGGGUCUGGUUGAUCCUCACCAUAUAACCUACGAUUGGCAAAGUUGCCUUGUACAAGGGAAAAUACCUAUACCAUUCUAAGGUUCAAACAAGGUUUAAUAUUGUCAUCUCUCUACUAUAGGCAAGUCACUCAGAUUUACCAUCCCAUAUAGCAAGGCGAAUAAUAAGAGUAAGUCGGUAUGGUGAUCAAUCCAUCCCGCACCCAAAUCAUUACCAUGUAUACAGUUUAGCGAAUCUCGCAUACUAACACUUAGUCAUCCUCACAAGCAUUGCAGAAUUUCUCUUGUCGACGAACUAAGUUUGGAUAAUUCCAUGGAUUCUGCAAGCCAAACAAACAUCUAUCGUUCCUUCACAACUCUCAUGUUUUGCGUUACUCCUAUAAAAUUGUCUGCCGAUAAACGCCGUAUCUUCCUCCAGGGUUUUUCCUUCAGCAAGAGUGUGCUUGUUCCUUGGCAGGUCCUGGGACCUGUGGGUUAUGGCCCAUCUUAUCACUUGUAGUCCUUGAACUUAUCAUCGGACAACUGGUCAUUAUUCCAACUUCCAACUUCCUAGUAUUCUUAAAUCCAUCUUAUUGUACUAUCUUCCUUCCUUCUAUUGGCACCAAACUAGGACAUGAUUACUCAGACUCAUCAUGGAGUUUCCAUUGAUCCAUAUUUCCGACAUCAUACCUCCUUUAUAUCCAAUAGUAAUUUAUCUCUUCAUCCUCGUGGGAUAUCCCACAUACCGAGAUAAAAACUUAUACUUAUGGAGUCCAUAUUCCACUUCAUGGAACAUCAUUAUCCUUUCCAGGGUCAAGCGUCCUUGCAGGGGAAUAUUGGCCAUCUCUGCAUGGCAUGUCUUUAACUAGGAAACGUGAAACGCAUCAUGGACUCCUGACAGUCCUUCGGGUGACUCCAACUGUUUGGCCACUUCUCCCAUACGCUCCAAAACUCGGUAUGGUCCUACAAAUCUCGGGGCCAACUGUCCCUUAACUCCAAAUCGUUUAACUCCUCGCAGAGGGGGCACACAAAGACAUGCUCUUUCUCCAAUUUCAUAGACUACCUCCUUGAGUUUUUGAGUCUACAUAACUCUUCUGCCUGGACUGAGCUACCUUCAGUCUACCUCGAAUCAACUUAACAUUCUCUUCUGACUCCUUGAUCACAUUUGGUCCAAACAACUGACGGUCUCCAACUUCAUCCCACAUACUCUUGGGGCAUCACACAUAUCGAGACAAAACUCGUAUUCAUUUUGUCUGAAAUCCACUCAGUGGAGUAUCCUUAUCUUUUCCAGGGGUCAACGGUUCUUACAGGGUACUACCACCCUUAAAAUGCACAAAUCUUCCAUAGACCAUAUUUCUCAUAUCCUCAAAAAUGGUCAAAAUCCUUCUUCAUAGAGUAACAACUCAUAAAAUCCAUAUCAGCACCAACGAUGCUAACUUUAUUCAUUCUCCAAUGAUUACAAUCUCUCGCUUUUCCAUUACAUGUCUCAACUCAACACCUCAAUAGAAAAGAAAAUGUUCUCACUUCUACUACUCCAUUUCUUUUGUUGCAAACUCAAGUAUCUAGCACAAGUUUCCUUCUCCUUAGGGCAUUCUCUGGCAAAGUGCCCUGCUCCAUUACAACUAAAACAUAUUACUUCUGACAAGUAUCGAGGUUUCCUUUUUGGGCAAUUGUUGAGGUAGUGCCCUGACUCCUUGCACCUGUAACAGAUGAUAUGACUCAGGUCCCUCCUAGGCUCCAAUCGGUUUCUCUUCCUGGACUUUUCCAUUCCAAUCAGGGCUUCUAUUUCCUGUGGGUCAUAUUCUACUUCCUCUGUCGGGAAUUCUACUAGAUCCCCAUUCAAACAAUUUUGGGAGAUGUGUCCUUCUUCUCCACAUGAAUAGCAAGACUUAGUGCAGGGUUUACUCGGGUCUUCUUUAGGUGUGUCCUCCACCUCUUCCUUCAUCACAGUUUCUUCUAAAAUUCCCAUAAGGGCUCCUUUCUUUACUUCUUUCUUCUGCUGGAUGGUUUGUUGUACCAUGGGGGAAAUGUGACACUAAGCAGGAUAGUGGGUAGUCCCUUCACACAAGAAACAAGUAAUCUGCCUAGUUGGGCAUUCUUCAACUGGGUGACUUCCUUCACAAUUAGGGCAUUCAUACUUGUGUUCUUUAUGGGUGUGUCCUAUUUCUCCACAAAUCUUGCAUGCACAAGGUUUCUUCAUAUCCUUUCCAUAAGGCUUCAACUUCUGAGACACGAACCGAGACUUUAGCAAAGUCAACUUAAAAUCUUUCCAAGUGGUUACUCCUUGCCAUCCAUUGAUGGUUUGGUACAUCCUCCACCAAGUAGCAGCACCUCUUUCAAAGCACCGAAGAGCAUGCUGGAUCAUAUCCUUUCCAACUAUAGGGUUAUUCUUCACGUGAUCCUCCAUGUUCUGAAUCCAUUGGUUCGUCUCCAAUUGACUCAUCAGCCCAGAAAAUAUAAGAUCAUCUUCAUUCAUCCUCUAUUGGGUCCAUGGGUUUGGGGUGAGAUAAGAGAGAUAGAGAGGGAUACACACAAUACAAACAAAAGUUUUGAAAAGACAGAUUUUAUUUGUGGCUGUUAGGAAAAACAUCAAACAAAUGACAGCUCACAAACAUCGCAUCUAACGUAGGUAUAUAACAGGGGUUUGGUCUUCUAAAGGUCAAUAAAUCUUCAACGUCGUCUAACUCUUCAAGUAUUGUUCAUGCCUCCAAUGGCUUCUCCUGAUCAUGCUUGUCUUUCUCAAAUCCUUUUGCCAGAUCAUUUCUGUUGUCGCAAAGUCUAUCGUGAUGUCCUUUAAUAUUUCUGGAGUUGCAUUCCAAACUUCUGAGUUUCAUCAACUCGACAUGAGCCAUGAUCCUACUGUCCUUCAGUUCCCGACGAAUCUUUGAUGUCUCAAGGCUCUGCUCCUCUAGCUUGGCUACUUUCAGCUUCUGCGUCCUGAGUUCUUCACGAAACGCUUCCUUAUCAAAUACUGCUUCUUGUAGGUCCAUCUUAACUUCUUGAUGUAACACUCCAGAUCCUGGUGAUACACCAGCUAAGGUUAAAACUUCAUCUUUUGCCGAUAGAUGUUCCAUCAUCCUUGUUCCAUCCAAUCCAUUCUGAAGAAAUGCAUCCUUAACUCAGCAUGGUGACAAUAGCAUCAACGAGUGGUAUCAUCAGGGAUGGACGUGUUUCUGCCCUUGUCAUUGCCAUGAGCUAUCUUCCAUAAUUGAUAUCUCCUGCCUUAGGGUUUUCUUGACAAAACUUUGAGGUUUUUAACUCUCCAUGCUCGGUCUUUCUCCGAUACACAUUGGUCUCGGGUAUUGACAACUUCCAUAGUCUGCCAAGUUCCAUAAGGGUAGCCUUCAUACAAAUCUGGGAGUUCUUUGGAGCAUCCAAUUCCCUAGUUUUCAGAGUCUUCAACAGUUGUAGUUUCCAUUAUCAUAUGUAUGGUAAAAUCCUCUUCAUUCCGUAGUGGUUGUGGUUGUCCGAUAUCUUAUACUUCUUGGAGUGGUCUCAUCCGUCGAAUCUUCGAGUGAUCAAAAGGGGAAAGGGAUAUGGUCUCACUAAAAGGGAAUUUUUGAAUAAGCUCAGAAGAGAAGAGAGGUAAAAAAUCUUUUGAAUGGGAAAGUUGUAGAGAAAAAUCUUUCCUAUGGGCUUGCCAGUUUCAAGGGGUCACGUCCUACAGUCAACAUGUGCUCUGAUACCAUCUUGUAGCGACCCGAUCUGAAUGGAUCAAGUCUCUGUGCUUAUGUGUCAUCCAUGGAUCAGUAUGCUGACACACACAGUACUCGAGGAUUUAUAACAGAGGAAAAUCACAUGUAUAAAGUAACGUAAAUACUAUUACCUCAAUCCAAAUAGCGGAAGUAACAAGGUUGUGGAUUCCCAUCAACAUCAAUGGCAAAGUUGAGUGUAGAAAUCGUAACCCUAACGUAUCACUUACUCGUCGUAAGAUAAUCCUGCAACAUGAGACAUUGCAGCCACAAAGGGUCAGUACAUUGAAUGUACUGGCAAAUUCACACCAUAGAGAAUGAUGAAUAAAGGCUAUCACUACAUGCAUAUUUGGCUGGUGGAAAAGCUCUAUGGUUAUAGUUUUGCGUAAAGCCAAAUUUUCCCUACUGCAAAGGAAUAAAUUUUAUUUAACUAUCAUGGUAGUUGUUAAACAUUGAGAAUGGUUGACAGCAUUCUCAAUCCCAAUUAAGCAUCAUCAUUAAACAAAACCCAACAAAAUUAAAUUUUAGAGUAACAUGUUGAGAUUCACAUGAUAAUCUAGGUACUAGAUACUCAAGAUGUCCAUAACCGGGGACACGGCUAAUCAUGAUUAGUUUAUACACUCUACAGAGGUUUACGCACUUUUCCCCACAAGAAUCGAUCGACUCCGUUUGGGUUUCUCGCACUACAUGGUGUUUGAGAAGACGGAUGACCGAGACAUAGUCUUUCAGAAGCACUAGCACCUUACGAUGGAUAGACCGUUACACCUACUUUCCCCUACAUCUGCUAGUCUACCCUGUAAGAGUUCGCACGACUUAAUUAACUAUGCUAGAGCCCAUAAUAGCUUGUCGCUGCACACGGAAGUUUCUAGUAUGAAUAAUCUCAUGAUCCCUUUGAGCUUGGGUGGCGGUCCAAAAAAAACAGGCAAUCCUGGUCUACCCAGGUGCCUAGACAGGCAAUCCUGGAAUACCCAGGUGCCUCAAUCCACCCAGAUGUGUGUUUAAGUUGCCACCUUAAGUAAACCAUUAAUUAACACUCUCACAUCUGUCAUGAAUACUCUCAAAACCCAAUCCAUGCCUACGAGCAUAGCAUGGCAAUGUAAGCAUAACGUAAUAGUGACUCCCAAGGGUUUGCUAAUAAACAGGUAAUAGGUACUACCUCAACUACUUCCCAUCCCACAACUUAAUUAGAUCCUAAUCAUGCAAUGUUGGAGGUUUGGUCUAAUGCAAUAAAAACUGGGUAUGAAAGAUGUAUGAUCAAAGUGUGAACUUGCCUGUAAUGUUACUGAAGAUGAUUCGCACUCAAAACUCUUGAUAGUUCUACUCGUCACACUCCGGUCAAUCUAUCGUAAGCAAGCAAUAGUAACCACACAUAAGCAAUCACUCAAAGUAUCAGAAAGAUCGAAGAAGACAAUUCGGAAAACAUCAAAACCAAGCAAAUAACUCUUGCAACAUAAAACAAUUUCUAACAGUACCAAAAUUAUAUGAAUUUGGCCUUAUCGGAAAGUUUAGGUCAAGAGCUUCGAUUUGCAAAAAGAAUCAACUCAAACGGAGCUACGAAACUCAAGUUAUGAUGAAACGAAGUUUGAAUUCAAAUCUGAUCUAAUAUUUAACUUUUCAAAAACGUUUUUGAGUUGGAUUACUGGAUAGAGGAGAUCAUAACGAAGAAGUGGGCGUUGGUUUCGUUGGAUUUGGACAAAGAGUAAAAAGUUAUGGCUAUUUAAAAAAUCAGGGCCAAGCUGUUUUACAGAAGAAAAAAUAGCUACAGGCUAGGGUCUAAUGUAUAAAUACGUAGACUAAUUGAUAAUCUAAUUAUUUUAUCAUAUUAGUCUAAAAAUAAUAAACUAUAGAGGUAUAAGAAGAAAAAACAAAGAAAUAUACCUUUAUAAGGAAGAGAAAAGACAACUUUGGAGAAAGGAGACAAUUUCCAAAAGUCGCGCCGGAGAGGAGAAAUAUAUUUUUCUUAAAUGAAUCUAGUCAAACCAAAAUAUUGAUUUAACCCGAAUCGGAUGAUUUUUUUGGAGGCUCUAUGGGUCUAUAUUUAUUGGUGGAAAAGAGGCUUAGGGGUCAAAGACUAGGCAAUGUGGGAGUAAACGUAGACGAAAAUAUACGAAACAGAGAAGAAAAGAGGCGGAUGGGCCUAAACGCCUUCGGCCGGCCGCGCGCACGCUGCUGUGCAGUUUUUUUUACAAAAAUUCGGCCUAAGAGAAAAAAAGAAAAAAAAGAAAAGGCUGGCUCGGCCUGGCCUAUUUAAGAGAGAAAAAAACAAUGGGGCGCCAGAAGCUACUAUACUGCGCAUGUAGGCGAUAAAUAAAUAUGGGCCGCACGUACAGUUUUUUUAAAUAGAAACAGAAGGAAAACCGAAUAACAAAAUAAAAUAAAA